rnacentral:lncRNA from 13 species
CAAUAACUAUGAAAGCAGCCUGAUAUUCUGUAUCCUACAGAAGAUCAGACUCUCCAAAGGCUUAAUUCAGAUAUGGAUUUGACUUAUUAAAUAUUGUCAACAACAGUACAAGAAACAAAAAGGGAGGAACAGAACAUAAAUGGAAUUAUUAGGCAUCACAUCUAUACAUAUGUUCAUAAUAACUUUAAGAAGAGAUGGGAGUGUUCCAGGUGGAGUAAAUAGCUUCUGCAGAAGCCCACAAUCUAAAUGCCCAACAGGGAACAUCUGCUUGGAACGCUCUUUGCUUGCUCUUUGCCAAUGCUGCUGGUGUUCAUCAUGCCUGUCCACCAGCUCUAUCAGCUUGCUCUAACCACUGACUUGAAGAUGUAAGAAGAUAAUUAAUGUGGUUUACAUCGAGUAGAAGAAUUUCUUCUCCCCAUUUCAAAUUAAUGGCAUACUGACAACAUAUAUCCUAAAGAAUCUGAGCAUAUUGAUGUCAACAUAGAGGAAGACAGGCUCAACUAACAUCUGUUGAGUGCUUGGAAUGUGCCAGGCAGUGUGCUAAGUAUGUUAUAUCUAUUCUAAUUUAAAAUUCAUAUAAACUUUAAGAUGUUGGUGUUAAUGUCUCGAUUUUACAGCCUAUUAACCUAUCUUCUGAUACUUAAUGAGACUUGUAUGUUGCCAUCAUGUACACAGCUGGCAAUGGACAGUAUUGAGAUUAGGAUUAAGAUCUAUUUAAUUUCAGAGUCAAUGCUUAUUUCUCUGCCCCCUCAUCUUCACUAUAGGAACUAAUACAUUCUUGGAAUUCUUUUACAGGCUGUCAUUUGUAGGAUAGUGCAGAAAUUAUAGAAUUUCAACUAAGAAGAUCUGAAUGUAUGCAGAAUUUUGGCAUGAACUAGGUGUGUGAUUUUGUACAAGAUAUUUUCUCAUCUCUUUGAGUCUCAUUAUUACUGGUGGCAUCACACAUGUAAUAAUGAGGUGUCUCAAGUUUGGGUUCCAGCUCUGUAAUAAAUUAGCUGUGUGGUUUGGGAAAAACCA